GUGGGCGCGAGCACGUGGCGUGCUGUCACGUAUAUUUAUGAAAUAAAUUUUGUGUGUUUAUAUGUUUAUAAAAUUCAUACAUAGACCCACGAGAAAAGCCACAUCCCGCAUUUAGCUGCUCAAAAGACGUCACGAGCAGUGAUCUGAGUCUGCGAGUUAACGUCGCCUCCAGCACCUCCAAAAGUGAAUCUUUCCCGAUCCGUGUUCCGGACCCCAGGAUUAAAGCCCGGAAUGCUUCCCUCUCCAACAGUCCUGCCAUGUUCUGUAGGAAAUAACCCUCACAUAACUCCAAGACGUCCAUCUUGAAAGACUCAGUCCCCCCGCAGUA